AGUUUGAUCUUGGCUCAGAACGAACGCUGGCGGCGUGCCUAACACAUGCAAGUCGUACAAGAAAAUCCGCUUCGGCGGGUGAGUAAAGUGGCGCACGGGUGAGUAACGCGUGGAUAAUCUGCCUUUAAGCGGGGAAUAACUUACCGAAAGGUGGGCUAAUACCCCAUAAAGCUAUGGAACUCCGGUUUUCAUAGCCAAAGAGAGCCUCUGCAUGCAAGCCCUCACUAAGAGAUGAGUUCGCGUACCAUUAGCUAGUUGGUGGGGUAAUGGCCUACCAAGGCGACGAUGGUUAGCUGGUCUGAGAGGAUGAUCAGCCACACUGGAACUGAGACACGGUCCAGACUCCUACGGGAGGCAGCAGUGAGGAAUUUUGCACAAUGGGGGCAACCCUGACGCAGCAACGCCGCGUGAGUGAGGAAGGCUUUUGGGAUUGUAAAAACUCUGUCGGGCAAGAAGCAAAGUCACGCAGGUUAACAGUCCGGUUAUUUGACGGUACCGCCAAAGGAAGCCCCGGCUAACUCCGUGCCAGCAGCCGCGGUAAUACAGAGGCGUCAAGCGUUGUUCGGAAUCACUGGGCGUAAAGAGCGUGUAGGCGGGUAGGCAAGUCAGAUGUGAAAUCCCUGGGCUUAACCCAGUACGGCCUCCGAAACUGCUUGUCUUGAGUACAGAAGAGGGAAGCGGAAUUCCCGGUGUAGCGGUGAAAUUCGUAGAUAUCAGGAGGAACACCAGUGGCGAAGGCGACUUUCUGGUCUUCUACUGACGCUGAGACGCGAGAGCUAGGGGAGCAAACAGGAUUAGAUACCCCGGUAGUCCUAGCCGUAAACGAU
rnacentral:rRNA from 1 species